rnacentral:rRNA from 1 species
AUGGUAGAAAUAUCGUGGAGCACCGAGCAUGUUAUCUUUGCUGCCUACCUCAUCAAGUCUUGCCAUGGUAGGAAGGGGCAACCCAUGGUCAUUAAGCUUGACUUUCAAAAAACAUCAGUUUCCUGGACCGCACUUAUAUCCACUCUAAGACUUCGUGGUUUCCAACCAUUUUUUGGUAGAAACCAUCCUUUCUACCGGCAAAACGAUGACCAUGCUAAAUGCGGUACUCGACCCUUGAUUGCCUGCAAACACGAUAUGAAACAAGGCAAGCCCCUUUCACCUUAUCUCUUCAUUAUUGUUGUUGAUAUUCUUCAACAACUAAUAAAUAAAAAUCAUAGUCAUAGUUCUCUCUCCUAUCCAUUUACAAACUACCUACCACCAACGACACUAGAAUACGACGCCAUUAUCAUAGCUAAGUUCUCACCCUAA